rnacentral:rRNA from 1 species
CCCUUAGACGUUCUGGGCCGCACGCGCGCUACACUGACGAAGGCAACGAGCUUUCCUUUACCGAAAGGUACGGGUAAUCUUUUGAAACUUCGUCGUGCUGGGGAUAGAUCCUUGCAAUUUUUGAUCUUAAACGAGGAAUGCCAAGUAAGCGCAAGUCAUCAACUUGCGUUGAUUACGUCCCUGCCCUUUGUACACACCGCCCGUCGCUACUACCGAUUGAAUGGUUUAGUGAGGCCUUCGGAUCCGCGACUCGUUUGUGGAGAAGUUGGACAAACUCAGUCAUUUAGAGGAAGUAAAAGUCGUAACA